rnacentral:rRNA from 1 species
AUGAGCAUUUUGCCAGUGAUCUAUGCACUACUCCCUUUGUUGGUACUCGGGUCACGAGGAAAGCUAGCUGCGCUAGCAUCAGGAGGCGUAACAAGUUACAACCCUACAGGAGGCUGGGUGCAACCCUCACAUGGCACGCUCCACGGUUGCCCAAAGAGCUGUGGAAAUGUGAGCAUCGGCUACCCCUUCGGCAUCGGAUCCAGGUGUUCCCGGGGGGCCGACUUCAACCUCACCUACAACGACACCGCGCGUUCCCCUAGACUGUAUUUGCGUGAUGGCAUCACCCAGGUGAUUAGCUUUGAAGAAUCUUUUCUGGUAGUAACUCCAUCACGGCCUCCUUCUCGCAUACCAUGCCUAUGCAACCUGGUGUCAGUGUCUACAACUUGUCUUUGAAACUGCCAAUCCAACUGUGUUGCUGCCAAGAAAAACAGGACAGACUAUGCAUGUAUCAGUGAGCAUGCCGAGUGCUUUGACGGAAGCCAUGGCUACAACUGCAUGUGCAGCAUUGGCUAUACAGGCAACCCCUACUUUCCAGAUGGUUGCUCCAAGCUCGACAACAGAGGGUAUAAUCCAAUUCCGAGCAGGGCUGAUUGCACCCGUUGGUGUGGUAACGCUACUGUGCAAUUCCCAUUUGGCUUAGAAGAGGGUUGCUUUGCAAGUGAAGAUUUUCACCUCAACUGCACAAAUACGACGUCAUCAGCUGCCCUGAUCUUGUUGGAGGCGAAACAGGUCAUCGGCAUAAAUAUUGACGAAGGGACCGUUAAUGUCACCAGUCUUGACCAACAAGGGAUAUACAGCUUGACUGAAAAUUUUGUUUUUCCUAUUCCUGGGUCAUUCUCCUCUGCGCAAUGGGUUGCUGCUAAUCUAAGUUGUUUAGAGGCCCAACAGAAUAGCUCUAGAUAUGCUUGCGUGAGUAUCAAUAGCGAGUGCGUGGAAGUAAGUGUUAAAGACCUUGAUUCUGUUGAUAGUGUCUAUGUUGGUUACCGUUGCAAAUGCUUAGAUGGCUUCCAAGGAAAUCCAUACAUCCAAACCGGUUGUCAAGAUAUCAAUGAAUGCCUUCUACCGAGCAAAUGUAAAGGGAUCUGCCGUAAUAUGGAAGGAAGCUUUAGUUGUACUGAAUGUCCUCGCAAGACUGAGUAUGAUCCAAUUAAAAUGCUGUGUACUAAGAGGCAACAACCUCUGCUCUUAGCACUUCUCAUUCGUAGAUGGAAAAGAAAUGUUCAAAAGCAACUACGGAAGAACUAUUUCCGGAAGAACCAAGGUCUUCUACUAGAAACGUUGAUAAUAUCGGAUGAAACUGCAAAUGAGAAUACUAAUAUUUUCCCUUUAGAAGAGCUGGAGAAGGCAACAAACAACUUUGAUCCUACACGUAUCAUCAGACAUGGGGGCCACGGCAUGGUUUUCAAAGGCAUAUUGUCUGAUCGGCAUGUUGUUGCAAUAAAAAAGUCUAAGAUCAUUAGGCAGUGUGAGAUCAGUCAAUUCAUUAAUGAGGUCGCAGUCCUCUCACAGAUAAAUCACAGAAAUAUUGUGAAGCUCUUUGGAUGUUGCCUUGAAACCGAGGUUCCACUACUGGUGUAUGAUUAUGUAUCCAACGGCUCACUGUCUGGAGUUCUUCAUGCAGAUGCAAGUGAUGGUUUUUCUUUAUCCUGGGGCGAUUGCUUAAGGAUUGCAAUCGAAACAGCAGGAGCUCUAUCUUAUCUCCACUCUUCAGCUUCGAUAUCAAUCUUCCAUCAUGAUGUGAAGUCCUCAAAUAUACUCUUAGAUGUGAACUACACAGCCAAAGUUUCAGAUUUUGGCGCGUCCAGAUUGGUUCCGAUUGAUCAGACACACAUUGUCACGAAUGUGCAAGGUACAUUUGGGUACUUAGAUCCAGAGUAUUUCCAUUCCAGGCAGCUGAACGGGAAGAGCGACGUGUACAGUUUUGGUGUGGUACUAGUGGAGUUGCUUCUCAGAAUGAAGCCUGUAUUUACAAGUGAAUCAGGCACAGUCAAAAGUUUGUCAAACUAUUUCCUCCAGGAGUUCAAUGAGGGAAGAAUCACAGAUAUUUUUAAUUCUCAGGUCCUUGAGGAGGCAACUGAGGAAGAGAUCGACAGUGUCGCAUCUUUGGCAGACCGGUGCUUGAGGUUACAUGGCGAAGAAAGACCAACCAUGAAACAGGUGGAGACAGAACUACAGACUCUACGGACAAAACGGAUGAACUCAUCUCAGCCUGAUCUGAGAAAUGGAGAACAAAUGCAACCAAGGUCAUUAACUCGAAGGACUAGAUCUGCUCGUCAAUCGUUUGCACAGCAAGGAGGUAGCCAACGACGCUAUAGCAUGGAGGCAGAGUUCUUGUCAUCUGCUAGCCUACCACGUUAG